GAUGAACGCUGGCGGCGUGCCUAAUACAUGCAAGUCGAGCGAACGGAUGAGAAGCUUGCUCCUCUGAUGUUAGCGGCGGACGGGUGAGUAACACGUGGAUAACCUACCUAUAAGACUGGGAUAACUUCGGGAAACCGGAGCUAAUACCGGAUAAUAUUUUGAACCGCAUGGUUCAAAAGUGAAAGACGGUUUUGCUGUCACUUAUAGAUGGAUCCGCGCUGCAUUAGCUAGUUGGUAAGGUAACGGCUUACCAAGGCAACGAUGCGUAGCCGACCUGAGAGGGUGAUCGGCCACACUGGAACUGAGACACGGUCCAGACUCCUACGGGAGGCAGCAGUAGGGAAUCUUCCGCAAUGGGCGAAAGCCUGACGGAGCAACGCCGCGUGAGUGAUGAAGGUCUUCGGAUCGUAAAACUCUGUUAUUAGGGAAGAACAAAUGUGUAAGUAACUAUGCACAUCUUGACGGUACCUAAUCAGAAAGCCACGGCUAACUACGUG
rnacentral:rRNA from 1 species